rnacentral:lncRNA from 1 species
UCGAUCAGUACUACUGCUAAAAAAAAUAUUGCAUAUAGUGUUGCCGAGAGAUAUAACAUGCCUUUAUUGACUUUAUAAGCGUCACGGCCGGGAACAACUCCUUUGAAACAGAUCUCAACUUCGUCCAUGGGAACUCUCUUUCAACUAUUGAAUGUAUAAAGUUAUUAUUCCCAUGUCAAAGGUAAAAAAAAAAAAAUAUCUAAUACUAUGUAAUUUUGUAUGAUCAAGAAGACAAGACUACAAGAAAACUGAAUCAUUGUGACUUCUGUUAGAC